rnacentral:sRNA from 1 species
GAUAUUAGGGUUCCAAGGUCAAAAAUCCGAAUCAAGCUUGCUUGAAUGAGGAUUUUGACCUUGGAACCCGCGAAACAUGAGGAAGUAGCAAUUUGCUUGCAAAGCAAGAAAAUUAGCGGAUUCCGAAUGUUUCAGGAUUGCGAGAGUUUCGGAACGAAACGGAG